AUGAAGCAUGAAAAAAAGAGAAGCUCAGAACUCCCCUUGAUAAGAAUGGAAAAGGUCCCUGCAGUCAGCACAAUGACACCUAUGGCUAGGGCACCAAAGGAGGAAAAUCUAACAUUCCCCCCCUUUAAUAUCUUGGUAAAAUUCUGU
ensembl:snRNA U6atac minor spliceosomal RNA